UACAGAGGUCCCGAGCGUUUGUUCGGAUUCAUUGGGGCGUAAAGGGUGCGUAGGCGGCGGGGUAAGUUUGAUGUGAAAUCCCGGGGCUCAACCCUGGAAUUGCAUUGAAUACUACCUUGCUAGAGUACCGGAGAGGAAACUGGAAUUUACGGUGUAGCAGUGAAAUGCGUAGAGAUCGUAAGGAAGACCAGUGGCGAAGGCGGGUC
rnacentral:rRNA from 1 species